GUGCCUAAUACAUGCAAGUCGAGCGGUCAAAUGGGAGCUUGUCCCUGAAGUCAGCGGCGGACGGGUGAGUAACACGUGGGCAACCUGCCUGUAAGACUGGGAUAACUCCGGGAAACCGGGGCUAAUACCGGAUAAUUCUUUCCCUCACAUGAGGGAAAGCUGAAAGAUGGUUUCGGCUAUCACUUACAGAUGGGCCCGCGGCGCAUUAGCUAGUUGGUGAGGUAACGGCUCACCAAGGCAACGAUGCGUAGCCGACCUGAGAGGGUGAUCGGCCACACUGGGACUGAGACACGGCCCAGACUCCUACGGGAGGCAGCAGUAGGGAAUCUUCCGCAAUGGACGAAAGUCUGACGGAGCAACGUUUUGUGAGUGAUGAAGGUUUUCGGAUCGUAAAACUCUGUUGUUAGGGAAGAACAAGUACCCCCCCCCCACUGCCGGUACCUUGACGUUACCUAACCAGAAAGCCACGGCUAACUACGUGCCAGCA
rnacentral:rRNA from 2 species